GCGAGAGAGGGAGAGAGAGAGAUACUGUAGAAUAAAGCGAGAGAGGGAGAGAGAGAGAUACUGUAGAAUAAAGCGAGAGAGGGAGAGAGAGAGAUACUGUAGAAUAAAGCGAGAGAGGGGAGAGAGAGAUACUGUAGAAUAAAGUGAGAGAGGGAGAGGGAGAGAUACUGUAGAAUAAAGUGAGAGAGGGAGAGGGAGAGAUACUGUAGAAUAAAGGGAGAGAGAGAUACUGUAGAAUAAAAAUAAAGAGAGAGAGAGAGAGAUACUGUAGAAUAAAGCGAGAGAGAGAGAGGGAGAGAGAGAUACUGUAGAAU
ensembl:lncRNA